rnacentral:rRNA from 1 species
GAUUAACGCUAGCGGCAGGCCUAAUACAUGCAAGUCGAACGGCAGCACGGGUAGCAAUACCUGGUGGCGAGUGGCGCACGGGUGCGUAACGCGUAUGCAACCUACCUAUAACUGGGGAAUAGCCUUCUGAAAGGAAGAUAACACCGCAUAAUAUCACGAGACGGCAUCGCCUUGUGAUCAAAUCUCCGGAGGUUAUAGAUGGGCAUGCGUGACAUUAGCUAGUUGGUGAGGUAACGGCCCACCAAGGCUACGAUGCCUAGGGGGUCUGAGAGGAUGAUCCCCCACACUGGUACUGAGACACGGACCAGACUCCUACGGGAGGCAGCAGUAAGGAAUAUUGGACAAUGGGCGCAAGCCUGAUCCAGCCAUGCCGCGUGAAGGAUGACGGCCCUCUGGGUUGUAAACUUCUUUUAUACGGGAAUAAACCCCUCGAUUCUUCGAGGGCUGAAUGUACUGUAAGAAUAAGGAUCGGCUAACUUCGUGCCAGCAGCCGCCGUAA